rnacentral:rRNA from 3 species
AAUAUGACUCUCGGCAAUGGAUAUCUCGGCUCUCGCAUCGAUGAAGAGCGCAGCGAAAUGCGAUACAUGGUGCGAAUUGCAGAAUCCCGUGAAC